AAUAAGUACAGUUUUAUACUGUUUAUAUCUAAUGUUUGACCGUUCAUCUUAUUUAAAAAAAUUUUACGAUUAAUAUUUUUAUUGUUACUAGAUGAUAAAACAUGAAUAGUACUUUAUGUGUGACUAACUUUUUUUAAUUUUCUCAUAAAUUUUUCAAAUAAGACGGACGGUCAAACGUUGGCCAUGGAUUUCCACGGCUGCAUUUAUU
rfam:Oryza nivara chromosome 5, whole genome shotgun sequence.